rnacentral:rRNA from 1 species
GACGAACGCUGGCGGCGUGCUUAACACAUGCAAGUCGAACGGAAAGGCCCUGCUUUUGUGGGGUGCUCGAGUGGCGAACGGGUGAGUAACACGUGAGUAACCUGCCCUUGACUUUGGGAUAACUUCAGGAAACUGGGGCUAAUACCGGAUAGGAGCUCCUGCUGCAUGGUGGGGGUUGGAAAGUUUCGGCGGUAGGGGAUGGACUCGCGGCUUAUCAGCUUGUUGGUGGGGUAGUGGCUUACCAAGGCUUUGACGGGUAGCCGGCCUGGGAGGGUGACCGGCCACAUUGGGACUGAGAGACGGCCCAGACUCCUACGGGGGGCAGAAGUGGGGAAUAUUGCACAGUGGGCGGAAGCCUGAGACGGCGACGCCGCGUUCGGGAUGACGUCCUUCGGGUUGAGAACCGCUUUCGCCUGUGACGAAGCGUGAGUGACGGUAAUGGGUAAAGAAGCACCGGCUAACUACGUG